UUGCAUAGGGGGAGCUUGUAGACAGGCUGAGAGGAAGUUGGGAACUUCGACCCGGGAACCUGAUUUGGAUAAUGCCAACGUAGGGAAAUAGA
rnacentral:ncRNA from 1 species